GAUGAAGAACGUAGCGAAAUGCGAUACUUGGUGUGAAUUGCAGAAUCCCGUGAACCAUCGAGUCUUUGAACGCAAGUUGCGCCCGAAGCCAUUAGGCCGAGGGCACGCCUGCCUGGGCGUCACACGUCGUUGCCCCCCCAUCUACUCCUUCGGGAUUGCGGGGGGCGGAUGAUGGCCUCCCGUGCGCCUCGUCGCGCGGUUGGCAUAAAUGCCAAGUCCUCGGCGACGCACGCCACGACAAUCGGUGGUUGCGAAACCUCGGUUGCCCGUCGUGUGCGGUCGUCGCGCAUCGAGGGCUCGAAAAAAUUGCCGGGCUCUGAUUCGGCUUUCAACGCGACCCCAGGUCAGGCGGGGUUACCCGCUGAAUUUAAGCAUAUCAAUAAGCGGAGGA
rnacentral:misc_RNA from 1 species